ensembl:snoRNA small nucleolar RNA SNORA17
CCUACCUCUAGAAGUGUUGCAGGUAUGAAAGCUGUGUCAUAUGUACCAUAGUAGGUGUCAGAGAGGAGAUGGGCUAUAUCUACAUUCAGUGUUCUGACCUAUGAUCAUCUGAAUGUUUAGUGACCUAACAUU